ACCCGGGCAUGUGCCCUGACCCAGAAUUGAAACCGUGACCUCCUGGUUCUUAGGUCGACCUCAACCACUGAGCCACGCUGCUGGGCUCGUGUCCCCCGUGGAAAACUCUGAGGCCCCAGGCCGAUCUGCACUGCUUCCCAACCUCUGCUCGCCAUCUGGGCCUCUUGUCUCUGGGGCUGGGUCUCAGGAACCAGGCUUCCCUGAUGCCACCCACCUGGGUAGGGGUCAUGCCCAGGUCAUGCCCACACUGGGGGAUGAGCCCUCUGAGAACUCUCAUUUGGAACCUUGAGAAUGGCUGUUCUCAUUCUCGACCCGCCCCCCACUCAUCCCCCACGUGUUCGUGUAUCCACAUGUCUUUUCAAUUAUUAUUGAUUAGGGGUACUAGUCCCAGGUAUCAUUUCAGGGCCUGGAGAUACAUCCGUGAACAAAAUAGGUGAAUGAUAAGUGUGCAGUGAGUGCACAUAUGGCAGCAGGCCACACUUAGGCAUUCUUUAUGGCUCCCCAUCCCUUCCAAUGGGGCCACUGAUCUUUCCCUGUGUAAAUCCAGCCCGUCUGUCUGUCUGUCCUCCAGAGAUCCAGCACAGAGCUCCUUCCAGCCCACACACCCAGCCCUGCCAGGCCUCACUCCACAGGGUCCACAUGCCCGCACAUGGAGGAGGAUAGAGAGCCUGCAUUCCUGGGCCUGCCUUCAAGGUCAAACACAAUUUGACCCCCGCCUGCCUCUGGGGAGUCUCCUCAGUCCUGGCAGCUUCCUCUGCAUUCCCAUGCACCCCGGUGUCUCUGCUCCCGGGUCCCUCUUCCUGCAGCAAGACCAGGACUCACUGGCAUCUACAGAGGACCCCCGCAUCUUUGCCGGCUUCUGGGGCCUGGUAAGCACGGAUUUCAUUUCUUUGAAAACGCUCCUGGGGCAUCAGACACUGGGGAGACUUAUUGCUGAAAUGAAAGCUUCACGAACGUGAAAUUGGAAAAGGUCACAGCUGAGGGCACAGUCUCGGAGACGCAGGGACGGUGCCCACAAAGCCAGGGCAGCCGGGCGCUUGGCAUCUUCCCUCCGGAGCACAGAGCAUUCGGAGGCGGGUGACCUCCCCUAAUUAGGAAUAUGGGGGAAAUGGGGCAGCACCAGCUGGAAGCCGUGAGUAAAUGAGCCCGUGCUCCAGGUGACUCCUGCUGGGGUAGUUAGAGGUGCACGCGGGUACUGAGCAGGAGGAAGACACGCGAGGCCUUCUCUCCCUCCCCGAAGGUCCUUCCUGCUCUAAGCCUGCCUGGGCCCGCGUCACCAGCGGCCCAUCCUGAGGGGGGCGUGCAGGGUCAGGGUGCAGGGAG